CCUGUUGCCUGAAAAUGAUCGACGGAACGAAACUAGAGCUCAGCUUCUUGCUCAGAUGGACGUCAGUAUGGGAGGAAGAGUGGCAGAGGAACUUAUAUUUGGAGCUGAUCAUAUUACAACAGGUGCUUCCAGUGAUUUUGAUAAUGCAACCCAAAUAGCAAAGCAGAUGGUCACCAAAUUUGGAAUGAGUGAAAAGCUUGGAGUUAUGACCUACAGUGAUACAGGGAAACUGAGUCCAGAAACUAUAUCUGCUAUUGAACAGGAAAC